rnacentral:lncRNA from 1 species
UCGAGUCGGAGAAGGUGUGCUGAGGUCUAGGAUAGAGUGGUUAAUGUUCGAGCGGUCGGGGAUUUUGGAGAGGGUGAGGAGAGCGGCCAUUGCUUUGUGGGGAGAAAUUUGAGUUGCGAUUUCAUGGAUCGCCAUUGCUUGAAGCGAUGAAGGAUUUGGAGAUGGGAUUUGGUGAAGAUUUGAGAUGUUUUAGUAGAGAGUGAUUGAGUUUAGUGGGUUAAUAUAGCAGUUAAAGAGGAGAAGUUUCUAUAUUUGGUGGAGUUGACAUUUGACUGACUGGAGCUGGAUGCUGGAAUUCUUCAACCUCAUGGCGUAAUGUAAGUCGUAGUUUUUGUAUUUUUCCAAAAAAAAUAAAAAG